GUAUAGCAACGCCACACUGCAUCAAGAAACGGACAUCAUCGGCCGUUUUGAAAUUUCAGCAUGAGGUAAUAAUGACACAAGAAAGUUCUAGCUAUUUUGCUGGGAUUUUCAGUCUGAAUAAAUCAUGCAACGAACUGACCAAGAUGUUACAAACGAACAUUCACCAACAGCAGACACUAACAAAAACUUCGACAAACGAGUUGGCGAAUACGUGUCUAGCAUUAUACACAGUGCUGCAGACGCUCUGGAUCAAGCGCCGCUUAGAAACGCAGACGUCGUCAAGGACAAUGCCGCAGACGAUUUCAAGCAUUAUAAGCCAAACGACCAACACAGCAGUGGCAGAUAGUCUGGCGAAUAUUCUGUUAGAAGCCGAUGUCAACCGCUCUGUUAUUCAUAGUGUCACACCCAAAAAUUGUUGACGAACCUGCGGUGUCCAUGUGGGAACUGCAGACCAGUUUGCUUUGUAAUUAAUUAAGACCUUUUUAUACACCAACACAUCAUUUUAAAUUGUUUUUGGAGGUUCCGAAUAUUAUUUGUUACAGUAAAGUUUAAUAGAUACCUCUCAA